GGUUCUAUCUGACCUACAGUCCAAGAAUUCUGGACAGAAGUCGGUGCUAGAGCCAGCUCAGGAGCUCAGCGACACUGAGUGUCACCACUGUCUGGAUGGUUCUCUGGAGCUUUCACUUUCGUUUGUGACCUUGUAACUGCAACAUGACUGCACCCCACCUGCAGCCCACGUGCUGCAGCCCUGUGUCCAAUCCAGGAAGAAGAGGAGAGGACUGCCGGGUCUGGCCUUUUUAUGAGAAAAGCAAAGAUUUCCCAGAAACCUACCCACAGACUUCCGUAUCCGUUUCAUUUGCCCAAUGUGUCACACGGCCACCUCUGGAUGCAGUGGAAGCCAGAAGGGCAGGUAGUCGUCGGAUCCAGCUCCCCCUGCUGAUGAGCUUCCGAGGAGAAGGCAGACAAGGGAGGAAGCUGCCAGGCCUGCAGACGGGCACGCAUACAAGACAGCAAUGUGCAAAUCCACCAAAGUGGACCCGCCAUUUUCCCCAAGAUCUCCAACUCAGCCAAAUCCAGCUGAGAUGUUAAACAGAGAGUCCACUGGUGACAGGAAGCCCAGCCAGCUUCAAGCCAACGCGUCUGGUCUAAUGAAAAGGGCUUUGGCUGGUGGCCCUAAAGGCAACAAGUACAAUCCUCUGAGAUGGCUGAGGCAACUCCUUCAUCCCCUUUCUCUGCAGCCCUGGCAGCUGCACUUGCUCCAGCGCAAAGAAAUGCUGAAGCAGCAGGACAGCUAGGACCGAGUCCACCAUUCACAGAGGACAGGAAGGAAAGGGCUGUGCAUUCCUUCUCAGCUUCUCCUCAGGGAGAGAGGCAAAAAGCCAGCAGCUGUGGCUUCUCACCCAUUUCCAUAACCAUCAAAGAUGUGUGCAGCCCCUCUGAGCCAGGUGCUGGGCAAGGUGCUGUGGGACAUGCAAAGAUGAAAAUCCAGGCUCUGCCCUUUGUGAGCUUGUAGCCCAGAAAAGGGACAAGGUCAGCACAGAAGGCCCAAACAGACAGGAAAAGGGGUCAGACACAGCCUCAUGGGGGAGCAAUCAAUGCAAGAGCCCCCCGAAACCAGCAACUACCUACUGCUGGUUGGACUGGACUGUGCUGUGGGAAGGAACACAUACAUCCUCUCCCACCUCGGGAAUUCAGUCACGUGGGGGGAACAAAGGAAGAACAGCAAACACACACCUCCAGGCCAAUGCUGUGUACACAGUCACAGCAGAGCGCAGUGAGCAGAGAGAGCACGGUGGCGCGCACUUGAGCUGAGUCUGCAAAGCUCAGCAAGGAUUUCAGCAGAGCGGGGAGGAGAGGAAAUCAGUGUUCCAGCCAGAGGGAGCAGUGCACGCCAAGACAGAUGCAGUGAUGUUCAGGCAUGUCCAGGAAGCCCUCCUUUCCUGACCGCCCAGAUGAUGUUACAUCCUCUGUUACAUGCUCCCAUGGCACCCUGCCUCCUCCCAAGGGAAGACUGUCACAGAACGAACCACAGUAAGGGUGAGAAAUCAG
rnacentral:lncRNA from 1 species